GACGAACGCUGGCGGCGUGCCUAAUACAUGCAAGUAGAACGCUGAAGGAGGAGCUUGCUUCUCUGGAUGAGUUGCGAACGGGUGAGUAACGCGUAGGUAACCUGCCUGGUAGCGGGGGAUAACUAUUGGAAACGAUAGCUAAUACCGCAUAAGAGUAGAUGUUGCAUGACAUUUGCUUAAAAGGUGCAAUUGCAUCACUACCAGAUGGACCUGCGUUGUAUUAGCUAGUUGGUGAGGUAACGGCUCACCAAGGCAACGAUACAUAGCCGACCUGAGAGGGUGAUCGGCCACACUGGGACUGAGACACGGCCCAGACUCCUACGGGAGGCAGCAGUAGGGAAUCUUCGGCAAUGGACGGAAGUCUGACCGAGCAACGCCGCGUGAGUGAAGAAGGUUUUCGGAUCGUAAAGCUCUGUUGUAAGAGAAGAACGAGUGUGAGAGUGGAAAGUUCACACUGUGAC
rnacentral:rRNA from 1 species